rnacentral:rRNA from 1 species
AUUGAACGCUGGCGGCAGGCCUAACACAUGCAAGUCGAGCGAGCGGCGGACGGGUGAGUAAUGUCUGGGAAACUGCCUGAUGGAGGGGGAUAACUACUGGAAACGGUAGCUAAUACCGCAUACCAUCAGAUGUGCCCAGAAGGGAUUAGCUGGUAGGUGGGGUAACGGCCCACCUAGGCGACGAUCCCUAGCUGGUCUGAGAGGAUGACCAGCCACACUGGAACUGAGACACGGUCCAGACUCCUCCGUGAGACAGCAGUGGGGAAUAUUGGACAAUGGGCGAAAGCCUGAUGCAGCCAUGCCGCGUGUAUGAAGAAGGCCUUCGGGUUGUAAAGUACUUUCAGCGGGGAGGCGUUACCCGCAGAAGAAGCACCGGCUAACUCCGUGCCAGCAGCCGCGGUAAUUC